AUGGAUGGAUGGGGAUGGGGCGGCGACGGCGGCGGCGGCGGCCUUCUCUCGGUGCCUCCUGCCGCCGAACUCCGGAAGACGCCGCCGUCGCCGAACUCCAUGACCCAUGGCUGCCACGCACGGCCGCACCCCCACCCCUUUUUCUUCCCUCCCUCCGGCCUUCAUCUCUACCCGUCCCACUCCUCGGCCUUCAAUGGUGAUCCGCUGCCUCCCGCUCCUUGUGCUCCAAUCUAUCAACUGACACAGCCGUGCCCGGAGGGCUGCUCGCCAUCUUCUUGUGUCAUUGCCACUCUUGAUAGAGGCCGCCGUCGAGGCUGCAUCGUCGCUGCUCUUAGCCGGAACCAUCACAAACAACAAUUAUGCAGAAGGGAAUACGGGCACAACGUUUCAUCUCUUUUGGCUAGAGUAGAUGGAGUCAUCAGUCAAACUAGAGGGAUACCCCAGCAGUGCGUACAAUUUAUUGGUGCUCGUAGCUUCUCAUCAAUCUCCCACUGCUACUGGAAAAAACUCUUCCUACAUAGUGAUAAGAAUAGGUCCAGCCCUCAUACUGAAUACACAUGGUUGCCCAUUAAUGAUAACAGGAGAAAUCAGCCAAUAGCUAAAUCAACAAUGAAAAGUACCCUUGUUGCACUAUUUGAGUACCCUUUUUCUGCAGUGAUCAGACUUGCCCUUGAGACUGCAAGGUCCAUCAAAGAGAAGUGUUUUUCAUAUGGUCCUGAAUCUGGUGUGCGGUAUGAUGGACUUUACAGAAUUGAGAACUGUUGGAGGAAGAUUGGUGUUCAGGAUACGUACAAGGUCUUAAUGGUUUCUCACGCCGCCGCCGCCGCCGCCGCCCACCUCCAUCCCCUCCCCAACCCCGGCCGACCUCCACUCCACUCCACUCUUCCGCUGGCGGGGAUGCCCCAGAUCAAGUUGCGCAAGUCAGUGGCCGGCGGCCAGAUCCGCCACGGCCACAUCUCGUCCAGAUGGAUGGCGCGGGGAGAGGUAGAUCGAGGGGGCGGGUGUCGUGUGGGUCUUCUCUCUCGGGACUCCGCUCCGACCCGAUCCGGUGAGGAGGCCACCGCCACCAUGACUCUGGAUGCAGGCCGGCCCGUCGCCACCGGCAUGCCUUACCGCAAUGUCGACCCGGGCACCUCCUAUCAAUGGAUGACUGUUUGCCUCCAAGGAAGCUGCAGGACUGAUCCAACUUUACAUGAUGAGCUAUUCUUAGAAACUAUUCCUGUCUUCCAUAGAUAUAGUGCUUCCAUCACUUGGUCUGUUAGAAUUAUAUUGGAAGAAAUGGUCGAGGAUAACCACCAGAAUUUGAUUGCAAUUGGGGUUGGAAGGAAGCAACAAAAUUCCUAUCCUGUAAUAUGCAUUUUUGAAGUGAGCAAAUUCCUUAAAGUAGUUCUUACAUGUGCUAUAGACGAUUCAUCAUUGAUGAAAGAUUGUAGAUGGGAGAGAGAGCAAGGCUCGACUAUAACCGGAGUCGAAUCCGCCAGGUUGUGCAUGGGGAUGAGGUUGGAAGACCCAACAGCGUCGGCGAAACAACAUGCUUUUAAUGCUUCAAGGUGGUUUUACAAUCACCAUGCUUUUAAUGCCAGCUUGUCUUUCGAAGAGCGGCCGGUGACGCCGUGGAGUGGAGAGGAGCGGCCGGUGACGCCGUGGAGAGGAGGGAACAGGGAGGGUGAGAGCAAGAUCAGAGAUAAAAAACGAUGGCUUCCGUGUAUCAUGUGGACUCUUUAUGCUAAAUUAUAUGGAAUAUUGUACAUCAAAUGCACUAUCAGACCAGUUCACCCAGCUAAUUCUGAUCUCGAGAUCCUGGAGAAUCCACCUGACGUAGUCAAAGACAAACGUCCUGACCCAAUCACUAUCAUACCCACGGACCAACAUGAAUUACUUGCCGGCCUCUGCAACUACAUCAUGUCGGUCGAUGAUGUCGGGUGUUUGGUGAAGGAAUGGGUCCGGAGCUCGACACCCGAUCCAAUGGGCUUAAGUCUUAUGAAACUUCAGUGCAUACUUAACAUGGAGCAACCUAUGAACAAUGGUUGCUUCAACACCGCCGUGUGUAUGCUGGCAUGUGACACGGCAGUAUUGUUCACAGACCCUCCUAUACACUACAUGGAUCUAGGAUUUUGUUCCAUGAUGCUAGAGUCAACACAAGGUCAGAAGUUUUGCGAGAAGGAAACUAUCCAGACCUUGACAACAUUAUUUGAUAGCUGGCCUGGGAUGGACAAUAACAUCUCAUCGUGCAACAUGAUAAGUGUGCCCGGAUAUCGAGAAACAAGAAUGCCAGUGAGCCUCCCGGAUCCUCAGCCGUUUGGGGUUCCUGGCCGUCGGAUCUGGCUGCUUGAUUGGAUCUGGGCCGUCGGAUCGACCCCUGGAACGACCUCGGCCGGCUCCCGUGGAGACAACCCUAGCCGGCUCCCCUCCCGCACGCCUCCUCUCCCCUCCCCUCCCACGCGCCUCCUUUCCUCCUUCCCCGCCGCCGCCCGGCCUCCUCCUUCCACCCCUCCGACCGGCUCCUCUCCCGCUCGCACCGCCUCCUCCUCCCCACCAGCGCCUCCCUCUCCUUCUUCCCCACCUUCGCCCCUCCGAUCUGGCGCCGCCCAAACCCGAACACCCCGCCCCGGCAGGAGCCCGCUCGCCUCCCUAUCUCCCUCCCGCACCCGCCUCUCUCUCUCUCCCUUCCGCGCCCCCUCCCUGCCCCGCCGCCGCCGCUCGCCUGCGCACCCGCCGCGCCUGCUCGUGGUGCAGCCACGCCUCCGCUGUGGCGCCCUCCAACUAAACCUAGGUCAUCUCCAUGGAUCCGUGCCGCGGUUGCCGGAGGCGUGGGCGCCGCGGGUCAACCGCACCGGGAGGAUGGGGGCGCCACAAGCCUCGUCGGAGGUCGCCUCUCUAGAUCGGUGGAGGCCAAGGGCAAGGGCAAGGAGGAGGGGAGAAGAAGGAGGGAGGAGUGAUGCUGGGGAGGAUGUGAGGUGGGCUCUUCGGCGGCUGCGAGAACUACGACAAGCGCCUGCACUGCGUGUCCAAGGAGGAGGUCGUCGUGCACGCGCGGAUGCGCCGCCGGGCCCAGUUGGUCCGCUGCGGGUGCUCGUGCUUCUGGUCGAUUCGUCCUGCUGCGUCGGUCUUUGUUCUGUAGGGCCAUGUCUGUUGGUGCCACGAAACGGCCAUGGCACCGCUUGUGUGAGCCACGACGGCGCUACCCGCGCGCCUGCCCAAAAAUGUUGCCGCGAGCCGAGCCGCCGGCAUUCAUCUGGAGAAGCGCGGGAAGAAGAAGAUAGCUUCUGCCCAUGUGUUUAUUUCAUACCGCAUUCUGAAGUUAAUCUCGUGGUGAGCUCCACCCCCUCUUCCUACCCCCUGCACAUCUACCUUAGGAGGUUCUGA
rnacentral:rRNA from 1 species